rnacentral:lncRNA from 1 species
UGUUUUACGGGUGUUGAACCAGCCUUGUGUCCCGGGAAUAAAUCCUACUUGGUCAUGGUGAAUAAUUGUCUUAAUGUACUGUUGGAUCCUAUUGGCUAGUAUCUUGGUGAGAAUUUUUGCAUCCACGUUCAUCAGGGAUAUUGGUCUAUAAUUCUCCUUUUUGGUGGGGUCUUUGUCUGGUUUUGGAAUUAAGGUGAUGCUGGCCUCAUAGAACAAAUUUGGAAGUACUCCAUCUCUUUCUAUCUUUCCAAACAGCUUUAGUAGAAUAGGUAUGAUUUCUUCUUUAAACGUUUGAUAGAAUUCCCCUGGGAAGCCAUCUGGCCUUGGACUUUUGUGUUUUGGGAGGUUUUUGAUGACUGCUUCAAUUUCCUCCCUGGUUAUUGGCCUGUUCAUGUUUUCUAUUUCUUCCUGUUCCAGUUUUGGUAGUUUCUGGCUUCCCAGGAAUGUGUCCAUUUCUUCUAGAUUGCCUAAUUUAUUGGCGUAUAGCUGCUCAUAAUAUGUUUUUAAAAUCUUUUGUAUUUCCUUGGUGUUGGUAGUGAUCUCUCCUUUCUCAUUCAUGAUUUUAUUAAUUUGAGUCUUCUCUCUCUUCAUCUUAAUAAGGCUGGCUAAUGGUUUAUCUAUCUUAUUAAUUCUUUCAAAGAACCAACUCCUGGUUUUGUUGAUCUGUUCCACCGUCCUUCUGGUCUUGAUUUCAUUGAGUUCUGCUCGAAUCUUAAUUAACUCUCUCCUUCUGCUGGGUGUAGGAUCUAUUUGCUGUUUUUUCUCUAGCUCCUUUACAUGUAAGGUUAGCUUUUGUAUUUGAGUUCUUUCCAGUUUUUGAAUGGAUGCUUGUAUUGCGAUGUAUUUCCGCCUUAGGACUGCUUUUGCUGCAUCCCAAAGAUUUUGAAUGGUUGUAUCUUCAUUCUCAUUAGUUUCCAUGAAUCCUUUUAAUUCUUCCUUAAUUUCCUGGUUGACCCUUUCAUCUUUUAGCAGGAUGGUCCUUAACCUCCACGUGUUUGAGGUCCUUCCAAACUUCUUAUUGUGAUUUAGUUCUAAUUUCAAGGCAUUAUGGUCUGAUAAUAUGCAGGGGACGAUCCCAAUCUUUUGGUAUCGGUUCAGACCCGAUUUGUGACCCAGUAUGUGAUCUAUUCUGGAGAAAGUUCCAUGUGUACUUGAGAAGAAUGUGUAUUGAGUUGAGUUUGGAUGUAAAGUUCUGUAGAUAUCUGUGAAAUGCAUCUGGUCCAGUGUAUCAUUUAAAGCUCUCGUUUCUUCGGAGAUGUUGUGCUUAGAAGACCUAUCAAGUAUAGAAAGAGCUAGAUUGAAGUCACCAAGUAUAAGUGUAUUAUUAUCUAAGUAUUUCUUCACUUUGGUUAAUAAUUGAUUUAUAUAUUUGGCAGCUCCCACAUUCGGGGAAUAUAUAUUGAGGAUUGUUAAGUCCUCUUGUUGGAUAGGUCCUUUAAGUAUGAUAUAGUGUCCUUCUUCAUCUCUCACUACAGUCUUCAGGGUAAAUUUUAGUUUAUCUGAUAUAAGGAUGGCUACCCCUGCUUUCUUUUGAGAACCAUUUGAAUAGUAAAUGGUUCUCCAACCUUUUAUUUUCAGGCUGUAGGUGUCCUUCUGUCUAAAAUGAGUCUCUUGUAGAUAGCAAAUAGAUGGGUCCUGCUUUUUUAUCCAGUCUGAAACCCUGUGCCUUUUGAUGGGGUCAUUAAGCCCGUUCACGUUCAGAGUUACUAUUGACAGAUAUGAGUUUAGUGUCAUCAUGAUAUAUAUUCAGUCCUUGUUUUUGUGGAUUGUUCCACUGAACUUCUUCUUAAAGGGGAAUUUUAAGAGUCCCCCUUAAAAUUUCUUGCAGAGCUGGUUUGGAGGUCACAUAUUCUUUCAGUUCCUGCCUGUCUUGGAAGCUCUUUAUCUCUCCUUCCAUUUUGAAUGAGAGCCUUGCUGGAUAAAGUAUUCUUGGUUGCAUGUCCUUCUCAUUUAGGACCUUGAAUAGAUCCUGCCAGCCUUUUCUGGCCUGCCAGGUCUCUGUGGAGAGGUCUGCUCUUACCCUAAUACUCCUCCCCAUAAAGGUCAGGGAUUUCUUGUCUCUUGCUGCUUUAAGGAUCUUCUCUUUAUCUUUGGAAUUUGCAAGCUUCACUGUUAAAUGUCGAGGUGUUGAAUGGUUUUUAUUGAUUUUAGGGGGGGAUCUCUCUAUUUCCUGGAUCUGAAUGCCUGUUUCCCUUCCCAGAUUAGGAAAGUUUUCAGCUAUGAUUUGUUCAAAUACAUAUUCUGGCCCUCUGGCCCUUUUGGCACCCUCGGGAACCCCAAUUAAACGUAGGUUUUUCUUCCUCAGGCUGUCGUUUAUUUCCCUUAAUCUAUCCUCAUGGCCUUUUAAUCGUUUGUCUCUUUUUUCCUCAGUUU